rnacentral:tRNA from 1 species
GCCCAGGUGACAGAGUGGUUAACGUACCGGUUUUGAAAACCGUGGUCUCCUCCGUGGAGCAGGGGUUCAACUCCCCUCCUGGCUG